GCCUUGGGCGUUGGAAAUUUGAAGGGACCUGCUCCUAGUACGAGAGGACCGGAGUGGACAGAUCUCUGGUGUACCGGUUAUCACGCCAGUGGUAUUGCCGGGUAGCUAAAUCUGGAAGAGAUAACCGCUGAAAGCAUCUAAGCGGGAAACUCGCCUUGAGAUAAGAUUUCCCUAGGCUUUAAGCCUUCUAAAGAGUCGUUCGAGACCAGGACGUUGAUAGGUUGGGUGUGGAAGCGCAGUAAUGCGUUAAGCUAACCAAUACUAAUUGCUCGUGAGGCUUGAUCCUAUAACAUUA
rnacentral:rRNA from 1 species